UACGUAGGGGGCAAGCGUUGUCCGGAAUCAUUGGGCGUAAAGAGCGUGUAGGCGGCCCGAUAAGUCCGCCGUGAAAGUCCAGGGCUCAACCCUGGAAUGCCGGUGGAAACUGUCGGGCUGGAGUCCGGAAGAGGCGAGUGGAAUUCCUGGUGUAGCGGUGAAAUGCGCAGAUAUCAGGAGGAACACCAAUGGCGAAGGCAGCUCGCUGGGACGGUACUGACGCUGAGACGCGAAAGCGUUGGGAGCAAACAGG
rnacentral:rRNA from 1 species